GAACCAGACUGAUCAAACCCAGGAAACCACCUAAUGGGAGCACCACCAUUAGGGAGCUGGGACCAACCACGCCGGUGAUGGUGCUGAAGGAAUUGAGGGACAGGUCUGUUGUGCAGGUGGAGGCAGACUCAUCUUUGGUGCUGAUGAUGGUGGAAUCACAACUGCAGGAACCAUGGCUGGUGCUGUUCACCUCCGGUCUCUUGGGGAGGAGGGCCUCCGGGGGUGGGGAGCUCAGAGAUGAGGAAGUGAGGGGCUUCCUCUUCCUGUAACCAUUCGACUGCUCCCUGUGCUUCCUGGCCAUGAUCACAUGCCAGUGAUUCUUGACUGCAUUGUCUGUCCUUCCAGGGAAGAGCCUGGCAAUCAGUGCCCAUUUGUUGCCAUAGAGCCUGUGGGCAGCCAAUAGCCUCUUCUCUUCUUCCUCACUGAAGGCUCUCCUGUUGAUUCUUGGGUCCAGUUGGUUGAACCAUCUAAGCCUGCAGCUCUUCCCUGUACAAAAACCAAAUCCAACAAGAGUAAUAUCACAAGUCAAAGAAUGAUCCUUGGAAAAGAAAUUGAUAGGUGUUUUUGCAAUGAACAUCUUUUUCUGAGGUGACUUGCUGGAUUACCUGAUCUCCCUUCUAACUUCUCAGCAAUAAGGUUCCAGUUUUGGGGGCCAUAUUGGGAGACUAGCUGCCUUAGCCUGGUAUCCUCAGCUGGCCUCCAAUGUCCCCUGGCACAGAGCUUGUGGUGCUGCACACUCUCAUGGGUGGUACUGUUACCACCUUCAUCUUCCUCACCUCCAUGAUGCUCUUGCCCCCCCCAUCUAGAAAUCUGGAACAUCCAACCUUGUUCAACACCCUUGCAUUCCCUCUCUCCAAAUGGAGAGCCUAAAGCACCAGGAAAUGGAGGCAGUGGUGGAGGAAAGAAACCCAUGUCAGCUGUGGCUUUCAGUUCAUUUGAAGCCAUUUCUCUUUGUCUUCCAAACCAAGAUCAUGUACAUGAAAAUAGAUGAAAAAGAAAAGAGAGAGAGAGAGAGAGAGAGAGAGAGAGAGAGAGAGAAGCCAAAGAAA